GUGUUUGCUUCAGCAAUACAUAUACUAAUACUGGAAUGAUAAAAUAUGAAUGAUUAGCAUAGCCCCCCUGAAAGGAUGACACACACACUUAUGAAAUGCUCCAUAUUCUG